CGGGGUGAGUAACGCGUGGGUAACCUGCCUCACACAGGGGAUAACAGUUAGAAAUGACUGCUAAUACCGCAUAACCCGAUAGGAUCGCAUGAUCCAGACGGAAAAGAUUUAUCGGUGUGAGAUGGACCCGCGUCUGAUUAGCUAGUUGGUGAGGUAACGGCCCACCAAGGCGACGAUCAGUAGCCGGCCUGAGAGGGUGAACGGCCACAUUGGGACUGAGACACGGCCCAA
rnacentral:rRNA from 1 species